GAUGAACGCUAGCGGCAGGCUUAACACAUGCAAGUCGAGGGGUAGAAGGAGCUUGCUCCUUUGAGACCGGCGCACGGGUGCGUAACGCGUAUGCAACCUACCUUUUACAGGGGGAUAGCCCAGAGAAAUUUGGAUUAAUACCCCAUGGUAUAAUUGAAUGGCAUCAUUUAAUUAUUAAAGUUCCAACGGUAAAAGAUGGG
rnacentral:rRNA from 1 species